UUUCCCCAAAACAAUACACAAUCCCAUAAUUAAUCUCCAAAGAAAGACAAAAAUGGUGAAAUCAAUUCCAAGAACCCAAGCCUAUUCAACAAGAAGACGCAAGAACUUUGCACCGAUUAAAAAAUACAAAGACAAUCGAAAACCAAUUACGUUCUUCAAUUUCUCAACUCAAUCUUCUCCAUCUCCGAAUAACGCCAUUGUUAAAGCUCGAGAUCAAAUACCCAUUGAAAUCUCCAUUGAUAAACCUCAAGAACACAAUCAAUCUCCUGUAACUCCUUUUGCUCUAUUAUCUGACUCGCCCAUUCCCCCUUUGACCACUUCUGAUCACCAUUUUGUUUUUCAACAAUCUCAAGAAAUAGCCACAAAAAACUCCAUUGUUAAAGCUACUAAUUCUUCUUCUGAUCAAUUUAUGCCAUAUUCUAUAUCGGCCCCUGUUUCUUCUUUAAGGAGAACAGUUUCUGAACCACCCAAAUUUAUAUCUGAUUUAAGCCCUGAGGAAUACUCCAUUAUUAAGGUAAAUUUUGGUCAAUUUAUUUAUUUCCUUCGAUUUCAUUUUAUUUUUGAUAUUCUUGUUUUUUUUAUUGGUAAUUUAUUGAAUUGUAGAAGAGGAGAAUAAUGAAGCAAGAAAUGGAUUCAUCUCCUUCUGUAGUUCGAAAUUUGAUGAUUCAAUUGCCGCCAUUACCUCCACGGCCAUCGCCAAAGCUUUUAAGAAGAACAGUUUCCGACUCUGUUCCUCUUUCUUAUGCAAAGAAAAUGGCUGAAAACGAGAAGAUGGAAGGAAAAGCAGUUAAAGCAGUG